UCUCUUCUCCAGGUGGAGUACUGCUGCAGCGCCCUCUGCUGGAUGACUGAAGCUCUGUCUCAGAGUGAGUUGGUGGGAAGCAGCCGGCCGCCUCCUCCACUCAGAGAGGUUUCGGCACUGUCUCAAAGCUGAGCUUCACAUCCCAGUCCUCCCAGCCUUCCCAGUGCAGAAGAACUCUGAGCUGUGGAUUAACCCCUGCAGCUCUGGCUGACUUUAAACUCUGGGACUCGGAGUGGAUUAGUCUCAGAGUGAGGAACACUCAGGACUUUCAUCUUUAACAAUCUCUAGUUUCCUAUUUGGGGGAUUCUAGUGGUUUGAUUUUUUGUUAUGAGAAAAUCUAUAUUUUUCUUUUUUGUAUAGAAAGGUCAGUCUGCAUGUUGUUGUGUGACAGGAGAGCUUUAGCCCCGUCUGUCACCAUAGAAACCUCCAUAUCUGGCCUUGUGAGAUCAGAUGGAUCUGAUUUAAAGCUGCCUGAACCCAUCAAAGCUGCAUGCAGGAAAUCAGUGUUUAAAGUUGUUCUGUUUGCUUUAUGAUCCCUGACAUGAAACCCAAUAAAGAACCAGCUGAUUUCUGCA